rnacentral:lncRNA from 1 species
GUAGGUACUCCAUUGUCUGACGGAUCUGAGAACGCUGUCUGGGCUUCGUGCCAAGGGCUGGUAUUCACACAGCAACGACGGCCUCACAGAAGAGCUGUGGGAAGCAGGAGGGCGAGCCUCUCUUAGGGUGCCACUACUAUGGAGACACAGCUGGGCUGAACAAGAUUUGCUUCAAACGACAACAAGAGAGACAGAAAGUAUCUGAUUCAACCGCUGCCCAAGCAGGCAGGCACCAGAAGAGCUAGCAGCCAAUCCGGCCAUGCUCGAAGCCAGUCCUGCAGCUCAGCCAAUCAGUGACAUCAUUGGACAUCUCUUCAGAUUGCUCAUCAUGAUAUGAAGAUGAAACUUAAUAGCAAUAACCAAUGGAUGCUUUUCUUGGAUUCAGUCCAACACUCUGGAGACCAGAUCUUCAGGAAUGUAACUGGGAUAAUUGUCCAAAUUGAAUCCCAUACCCUGUCAUGGGAAUCUUGAGGAACCCAUUAAUGUAAAGCUGCGGCCAGAGUUCCAUGAGGAGGCAGAAUGUUCUAGAUGAUCCCUGUCUCUUCUCCAUUGAGGAAGUCGUUUCUUGCCUCUCUGUAAGCUCAGUUAAUCAUACCAGAAUAGGAGUCCUGUCUUAACUGAGCAAUAUACACUAUGGAGAGAUCCUUCAAAACCCGUCGGGACGAAUAACAGAUGAAUUCAUAAAACUGUUCAUCUCUGUUAUCCUGAAUGGUCACUCAGACAACAUUUUACUCAACUAUAAAGGGGAACACUUAAAGUGCAUAUGAGAAGAGAAGAGAAUGACCACAGGAGAAAAUCAUCUCAGGUAAAACGAAAAGGCACAAAUGUAGAGAGUAAUUAAUCUUAGAAUAUUAAAGAGAAAAUGAUUAUGUCUGUGUUUGGUAUAAGAAAUGGUCCUUCCCUUUAUGAAGCUACGUAUUUGGGAUUUUCACUGAUGGUUUUCCUUCAAGAGUUUACAGUAUUACUUGCCUUUGUCAACCUUUUGUUUGGUUUUGUGAUCAAUGCCCAGUGUCCAUCAUUCUGAGGACAUAUGUGUAUGUUGAUUUAUACAAUUCAGGUACAAGAUGGUUGAAUAGGAAGCUAUUUAAUGAAAAGGAAAAUAUGUUCUCAGUGGUUAUACAUUAUAAAAGGAAGUAAAAAUCUGAUAGAAAAGUAUAAGCUCAUAGUUUAUUUUUAAUCUUUUCCAUAUAUCUAGUAAGACAAUAAUGUCAAAGUAUAUUUUGUAGUAAUAAAAGCUACAGCCAGUGUUUCCUCUUUCUUUUUUUUAAACAUAAAAUGUAUAAAUAUAUAAGGAAAUACUUUUACUACAAUUGGAUGCAUGAUUGUUGAUUAUUUACUACAGUUUUAAUAAGUAGGAGAAUGAUUUGAAAAUAAAUAAUGGUGAAAAUUUGUGUAGGCCAAAUUAUCUGUAUUAAACUGGAGAAAAUACAUUCUAUUUUUAUUUAUUUCAAAACAUGCCAAAUCAUGAAGUAAUUACUAUGCAGUAUUAUUUUUCACAAUGAAGAUAUAAUUAAGAAAAGCUAAAUCAUUUUAGAUAUGAGUGCAAUGAUUAACGAUUGUACAACUUAUAAUUUUGCUUCAGAUGAGCUUAGAAUCCUAAAAAUGUACAUGUAACUGGCUUCAUGUGUGCUUACUGGCUUGCUUUCUUACAGUGUAGUAGCUGACAGAAUUAAGAAUCAUUUAUUUCAUUUCAACCUGUUGAACAGAGGAAUUAUAUGUAGCUGUGUAUUUUGUUGAAAGGAUAUAGUUCUUGGGAAAUAGAUUUAAAUGUGUUUUGUUGAAAGGGAAUGUAUGCUCCUUGGUGUGAUAUAAGCGACUACAAAUAUUCCAGAAUAGCAGGAAUAACACCGAUCAUGUCAUUGAUUUUAGGGUUUUUUGAUACCAUAUCUUUUCCUCACUGCUGUAAAAGUUUAAUUUCAUCCCCACUGUAGGCACAUGUCUGUACAUCUAGAAUUUGUGGGUUUUGUGUUCUUUACCUAGUCAACAAGACCUCAUUUGUUUAUAAAAAGCUAUAAUGUGACUAAAUCUCAAAAAUCAUUAACUGAGUUUUAUGUGAAUAAAUACAGUCACUCUAGUGCAUAUACAGUUUAAUAACUUCCUUUUUAGUUGUAGACUUAUCAUACUAUAUCUGUGCCUCACAACAGUAUAAUUCAUAUGUACAUAUAUUAGGUUCUCAAUUAGGACAUUUUAACAACAACGUUAAAAUAUUCACAGUUUAAAACAAAAGCAAUCUUUAAAAAAGAAAAAAUCAAGAAGAAAAGAGAGAAGU